GGUGGCUCAGCAGUUAAGAGCUUGGCUGCUAACCAAAAGGUUGAUAGUUCAAAUCUACCAGCCACUG
rnacentral:tRNA from 1 species